rnacentral:pre_miRNA from 1 species
AACCUUCUGUAUCCGUGCUGAGAUUUCGUCGGCGAUCAACCAAUUAGGACUGAUGCAACUUCCCAAAUUAGUGAAGUG